rnacentral:misc_RNA from 1 species
AGGAAAGGUAGCUAUAAGGAAUAUAAGAAGAGAUGCCUUAAAAGCUUAUGAAAAACUUGAGAAGGAGAAAAAGCUUUCUGAAGACAAUGUGAAGGACCUAUCUAGUGAUUUACAGAAAGUGACAGAUGAAUACAUGAAGAAGAUUGAUAUUGUCUUCAAGCAGAAGGAGAAGGAACUGCUGAAAGUUUGACAACAGUUGUGUUCAAUGUGUAUAUGGAGUUUGUGCAGUAAUGAAGCUUUUCUUGGAAGGUUUAUGUGGUGCAAUAGGCUUGUCACAUACCUUUGUAAAAAGAACUACCUUUAAUUUUCGGUUGUAAAGAUCAGUCAGGAACUGGAAUGGUCCCUGUUAAUUUUGUUAGGAAUUUCAUUUUUACUCCCAAAAGAAGUUAAAUCUGCUUGUAGCGACAUAAUUUGCACUGCUUGAGGCUGCUGGAUUUUGUAACUACAGGAUUCGGAAUGAAAUCGUACUUGCUGAUGGUAGAAU